AUUCAACACAGCUUUAGGGUAAGUUUUGCCAUGUGUCAAUCACACAAUGCAGCAGAAGAAAUCUUAGCUGGACAAAAUGACAAAAACUUUGCUUCUUCUGGCCAUCAUUUUGAAUUUCUUUUCCCUCCCUUUCAUCUCAUUUCUUGCUGGGCCAAAAAACACCAGUCCAUCCUAUUCGGUCCAGUCCAACAAACCCAAACAAAAGAGAAAAAACAAAUCGCUAUCUGGCAAAAAUUACUUCUUCUCGCAUAACCUUUCUCCCUCCACGCGUUGUACACAGCAAAACCUAGCUCCAUUUAUGCAAAUCCCCUGAACAGCACUGCACGUUUCAGAGAGUUCAGACAAUGAAAGCAACAUCACGUUCCUCUCUCUUUGGUUUCAAAUUUCAAAUUCUCCUUUAGUUUCAUCUUCCACACACUCUGUCACUCUAUCUCUCACUAUCUAUCUAUCUAUCUAUCGAAAUUUCCUUCCAAUUCCAUUUCUAAAAACACCAAAACCUAUGGUAGGAGGAAGAAGAUGACCGAGAUUCAAGAAUUUGGAGGAAAUAAAGCUACUUAUGGAAGAACUGAAGAAGAUUUUGGUUAUACUCAUAAAGGUGUUUUUUGAAAAAAAGAACCUAUGAGUGGCCAUGAAGUUGUUCUCGAGAUGAUUCAUAUGUUGACAUCUAUAUCAGUACAAUUGAACUGGACUUUGUAAGCAUUCACAUCCACCACUUAAUCUUUGCAAAUCUCUUGGUUUUUGGAUUUCUAUGUAAUAGUUACAACAAGGAAGUUGAGAAAGUCAAUAUAAUUUCCAAGAAGAUUAGAGCAUGAAUUUCAUGUCACAGGUAAAUGGAGUAAUGAUUCAAUCUCACUUAAUUAGGCUAACCUCAUAUUACUGUGUUACAAUAUUAAUUGAUACUGAUUCUAUUGAUUUCAAUGUAUGCUUUACUGGCUUUUUUUAAUAAAAAUGUUAAUAUCCGGUUUUGUUUGGCCACAAGUUUUAUGCACCAGCCAUCAAGUUUACAGAAAUCCAAGAAGAUUGAUGAACUUUCUUGAAUAUGUUGCUCAUUCUCAAUGUUUGAAUCUAUGAUCUUUCUUUACUUUGUUGGAUGGUAAAUUGAUUUUGCUUGAUUUUGAAUCUAUUUUGUUGAUUUUGAUUGCUGACAACUGUUUGGAAAACCUGCAGUCUUUUCUAUAUACCUAUAAUUACAUGACAUUAUUAGUCUUUUAUUUAUUUUUUAAUUGCAAUCAGGUUAAAAAUAUUCUGAUUUUUUUUUUGCAGCCACACAAUAAUGAAGAGGUUUGGUUUCUUUCCCUUUGCCACAUGUGGAUAGACAUCAGCCAUUAAUUAGGAAUAAUGACUGUUAGUUUGAUUUAAUCUAUUAGAUAUGCCUUAUUAGUAGGAAAUUUUAGUUAGUGCUUCAUUUGCAUGAACAAACCUUCCUAUUAUUUUUUAACCAUAAACACAUGAGUUGAUAAUUUCAAAAUUAGUCUUUGUUGAUAUAUAGCACCUUAUUGAAAAGGAACUAAUAUGCAUCAGCUCUAUUUUGGAGGUUGUGGUUUAAUUUCAUGCCUUGAGUGAUCAUAACAUGAUUUAUUAUUGAGAGUACUUUGUCAGUUAAAAUGAUUUAUAUAUAUGGAAUGAUUUGCACCAGUGUAUCUUAUAAUAAGAUUUGAACCAUGUCUUUCAUAAACUUGAUUACGGUUCCUUUUACAGGUUCUACUAACCGAAAUUAAUUCAAGGUUUUUCAUUUUACUUGAGAAGAGACUUUUGGUUUGGAAAAAGGUUUUGCUACACCGCUGCUACAAAUAUCAGCUACAACUGCAGAAGUGAGAGAUGAUGGAGUUUGAAUGGUCACAUUUAGUUAAGUUGAACUUUUUUUGGCUUUGUCAGUUUAUGUUAACCUCAAACAGUCACAAAGAUGAACAUUUGAAUUCACAUGGUUCAAGAAAACUCAUUGAUUGAAAUGCUAUAUUGUUUUUUAUAUGUUGAAUUAGAAUUUUUUAUAAUAUGAUUUUCUUGCUUUUUAUAAUAUAUUUGUUCUGUUAUGCUCCAAUAGGAACAAACUACAAGAUGAAUUACUUUUGUCACAUGUUGUCUCGGAGGGCUACUGUCAUGACUUUUACAAUGGAGAUUAACAUUUGAAUGGUUUCUGUCAUGGAAUUUUAAUAUUGCCAUCAUAAAUAGUUGAAGGGGAGAUUAAUUGAAGAGGAUGAAGGGCGCAUAACUCAAACUAUGAGUGCAUAAUGUAAUUGGUCCUGUCAAGUUUCAAUGAAGAAUUGGAAGUAGAAGGUUAUGAUUAAAUGAGGAUAUUCUUCCUCCACAUGGGGUAAUAAUAGCUCUGGAGAUGCAUGCAUAAGCAAAACAAUUUAAGAAGUACAAGCUCUAAAGGAAAGAGGUAAGAUGAAGGGAGGUUAGAAAGGGAGAUAACACCAACACAAAUUGUUACAGAACAAUGAGAUCAUUUUGAGGACUAUAUAUAGUUUUAUAGUGUGUAUUAUUUGUUUGUUGUAUAACAUAGGGAUUAUUAAAUUAAUGAAUCUAUUUCAAUUAGGAAUGUAAGUUAAGAACUAUUGUUUGAAUUGUAGUGUAAACUCUAAAUUGUCUAGAAUAUGAAGAAUAAAUCACUUUCUUUUCUGA